GUGGUGUUGGGGUAUUAGGUAGAUGUAGGGGUAUUCGGUAGAUGUAGGGUAUUAGGUAGAUGUAGGGGUAUUAGGUAUAUGUAGGGGUAUUAGGUAGAUGUAGGGGUGUAGGGGUAUUAGGUAGAUGUAGGGGUAUUAGGUAGAUCUAGG